GAUGAACGCUGGCGGCGUGCCUAAUACAUGCAAGUCGAGCGAACGGACGAGAAGCUUGCUUCUCUGAUGUUAGCGGCGGACGGGUGAGUAACACGUGGAUAACCUACCUAUAAGACUGGGAUAACUUCGGGGAACCGGAGCUAAUACCGGAUAAUAUUUUGAACCGCAUGGUUCAAAAGUGAAAGACGGUCUUGCUGUCACUUAUAGAUGGAUCCGCGCUGCAUUAGCUAGUUGGUAAGGUAACGGCUUACCAAGGCAACGAUGCAUAGCCGACCUGAGAGGGUGAUCGGCCACACUGGAACUGAGACACGGUCCAGACUCCUACGGGAGGCAGCAGUAGGGAAUCUUCCGCAAUGGGCGAAAGCCUGACGGAGCAACGCCGCGUGAGUGAUGAAGGUCUUCGGAUCGUAAAACUCUGUUAUUAGGGAAGAACAUAUGUGUAAGUAACUGUGCACAUCUUGACGGUACCUAGUCAGAAAGCCACGGCUAACUACGUGCCAGCAGCCGCGGUAAUACGUAGGUGGCAAGCGUUAUCCGGAAUUAUUGGGCGUAAAGCGCGCGUAGCGGUUUUUUAAGUCUGAUGUGAAAGCCCACGGCUCAACCGUGGAGGGUCAUUGGAAACUGGAAAACUUGAGUGCAGAAGAGGAAAGUGGAAUUCCAUGUGUAGCGGUGAAAUGCGCAGAGAUAUGGAGGAACACCAGUGGCGAAGGCGACUUUCUGGUCUGUAACUGACGCUGAUGUGCGAAAGCGUGGGGAUCAAACAGGAUUAGAUACCCUGGUAGUCCACGCCGUAAACGAUGAGUGCUAAGUGUUAGGGGGUUUCCGCCCCUUAGUGCUGCAGCUAACGCAUUAAGCACUCCGCCUGGGGAGUACGACCGCAAGGUUGAAACUCAAAGGAAUUGACGGGGACCCGCACAAGCGGUGGAGCAUGUGGUUUAAUUCGAAGCAACGCGAAGAACCUUACCAAAUCUUGACAUCCUUUGACAACUCUAGAGAUAGAGCCUUCCCCUUCGGGGGACAAAGUGACAGGUGGUGCAUGGUUGUCGUCAGCUCGUGUCGUGAGAUGUUGGGUUAAGUCCCGCAACGAGCGCAACCCUUAAGCUUAGUUGCCAUCAUUAAGUUGGGCACUCUAAGUUGACUGCCGGUGACAAACCGGAGGAAGGUGGGGAUGACGUCAAAUCAUCAUGCCCCUUAUGAUUUGGGCUACACACGUGCUACAAUGGACAAUACAAAGGGCAGCGAAACCGCGAGGUCAAGCAAAUCCCAUAAAGUUGUUCUCAGUUCGGAUUGUAGUCUGCAACUCGACUACAUGAAGCUGGAAUCGCUAGUAAUCGUAGAUCAGCAUGCUACGGUGAAUACGUUCCCGGGUCU
rnacentral:rRNA from 1 species